rnacentral:rRNA from 1 species
CCUACGGGAGGCUGCAGUAGGGAAUCUUCCACAAUGGGCGCAAGCCUGAUGGAGCAACACCGCGUGAGUGAAGAAGGGUUUCGGCUCGUAAAGCUCUGUUGUUGGAGAAGAACGUGCGUGAGAGUAACUGUUCACGCAGUGACGGUAUCCAACCAGAAAGUAACGGCUAACUACGUGCCAGCAGCCGCGGUAAUACGUAGGUGGCAAGCGUUAUCCGGAGUUAUUGGGCGUAAAGCGAGCGCAGGCGGUUGCUUAGGUCUGAUGUGAAAGCCUUCGGCUUAACCGAAGAAGUGCAUCGGAAACCGGGCAACUUGAGUGCAGAAGAGGACAGUGGAACUCCAUGUGUAGCGGUGGAAUGCGUAGAUAUAUGGAAGAACACCAGUGGCGAAGGCGGCUGUCUGGUCUGCAACUGACGCUGAGGCUCGAAAGCAUGGGUAGCGAACAGGAUUAGAUACCCCUGUAGUC